UACAGAGGGUGCGAGCGUUAAUCGGAAUUACUGGGCGUAAAGGGUGCGUAGGCGGCGUGGUAAGUCGGAUGUGAAAUCUCGGAGCUUAACUCCGAAACUGCAUUCGAUACUGCCGUGCUUGAGGACUGGAGAGGAGACUGGAAUUUACGGUGUAGCGGUGAAAUGCGUAGAUAUCGUAAGGAAGACCAGUGGCGAAGGCGGGUCUCUGGACAGUUCCUGACGCUGAGGCACGAAGGCCAGGGGAGCAAACGGG
rnacentral:rRNA from 1 species